rnacentral:lncRNA from 1 species
GUCCCGUCAGAAACCUUCGCUGGACACAAACGGGCUCCACUGCUGCAGCCGGAAAGCGAGAUGUCCCAGCCGUGGCACGGGAAACCGGUCACCCCUAGUGUCGCGUCAGCUUCCCGGGAACCGGGCACUCAGCCCAGCCAAGGCCCGGUCCCCUGUGAGCGCUCAGCCCCCGCGUGACCCAGAGCACCCGGGACGGCUCAUGCGGGCAAAACGCGAAGGCCGUGUGGUGGAGGGCCACCGGCGUCGCCGUGGACGGCCACCGGACACCUGACCAGCGAAUGCAACGUCCCAGAAGAUGCAGAGGUUAAAAAGCACAAAUAAUUUAAUAGCGCCACACAGGACCUCCACCAAACCGGCGGCACAGGGGACCCCGGCCCGCGGAGCCUCAGCGGAUGACGGUGACGUGGGGCGGAGCGGCGGUCUUGGGGUCCGAGCGCUGGCCCGGGCUGCCGUCGGCCUCGGCGUCCGACAGCGAGCCUUCCUCCUCGGUCUCCAGUGUGUACUUGUUCAACUCCGCCAUUUUCUGCAAGCGGAACGGGACUUCUCAGUCUGGGGCAGCGGCCCGGGGGCCGGGCGGCAGGCGCAGGCGCAGGCCCUCACUCACCAGGACCAGGGCGUCCAUGACGUCUUUACAGAUCUGCAGGCUGGUGGCACUGGUGACUUCCAGAAACAAAUCAGACGUCGUCUUCUUAAUCUGUGGAAACCCAAGGAACGUUUCUGAGGGGAGUGACGUCAUCGCACGCGGACAGCAGCAGCUCCGCGCUGACUCAGAGGUAACCUGGAAAGCCAUCUCCUCCCCAGGCAGGCUCGGCUGCUCCCGGCUCGGCCGUGGCCCCCGCACCUCGCGCGGACAGGACACGUGCGGGCUGUUCUCCAGGGAGAGGCGCAGGGGACGGGUGGGCCGACCCUACCUUUGUCUUCUCGCUGUUGGUGAUCGGGGGGAAGGAGAUGGUGUCCCCCGCGGCGUCCACCAGGCAGGGGUAGCUGUCUUUCCCAUCCAGCAGGUGCAGGCACCUGUGCAGGCCGGAGACACCCUGCCGCUUGCGCUGCUUCCGCUGCUCGUCCGCCUCCAGCUGCAGCUGCCGCACCAGCUCCUUGGCCUUGGCCUCCCUCCGCCCCAAGGGGACGAUCUGUCAGGUGGAAACGCGGGACGGCCGUCGUGGUCACAACCACACACGCCAGGGCUCGCUCCCCUCCCCUCCCUCACCGGCAGAGGGGGGACGGGGCGGUCCAGCCCAACGAGGGGCUCGGCCCCCGAGGGCCUCACCACAGGGCGCUGCCCAGGCACGG